rnacentral:rRNA from 1 species
GACGAACGCUGGCGGCGUGCUUAACACAUGCAAGUCGAACGGAAAGGCCCUGCUUGCAGGGUACUCGAGUGGCGAACGGGUGAGUAACACGUGGGUGAUCUGCCCUGCACUUCGGGAUAAGCCUGGGAAACUGGGUCUAAUACCGGAUAGGAGCCAUUUUUAGUGUGAUGGUUGGAAAGUUUUUUCGGUGUAGGAUGAGCUCGCGGGCUAUCUGCUUGUUGGUGGGGUAAUGGCCUACCAAGGCGGCGACGGGUAGCCGGCCUGUGAGGGUGGACGGCCACAGUGGGACUGAGAUACGGCCCAGACCCCUACGGGAGGCAGCGGUGGGGAAUAGUGCACAAUGGGCGCAAGCCUGAUGCAGCGACGCCGCGUGGGGGAUGACGGGCUUCGGGUUGGAAACUCCUUUCGCUAGGGACGAAGCUUUUUGUGACGGUACCUAGAGAAGAAGCGCCGGCUAACUACGUG